UUAUUCCAAAAAUACAACAACAUCAACAUCAUUAUGUUGGGAUUGAUUGAAAGAGCAGAAAAAAUAUUUUUUUUAAGAUAGAAGAACAUUGAAGAUUUUUUUUGUCUUGUAAUUCAUCCCAAAGAAUGAUGUUUACACGUUUGGAGUGGUUAUAUAUAAGUUAGGUUUAUGGUAAAAUCUGAUUAACGAGUGUUUUUAUAGUAAAAUCUGAUAAUCUAAUCUAUCAGUUAUUAACUACAACAGAAGAAAUAAAU
rnacentral:lncRNA from 1 species